UGCAUCUCCCAGGAGGCGCUGCGGCAGCCCUAGGGUGGGGUCUCCAGCCUAGUGAGUCUGAAGGCGGGGUUCAGCUCUCCUUGGCCAUGGUGCUGCACCCCAUGAAGUCCCCAGUUCCUCCUGGUUCCCAAAGGAAAACUUUGAACUCACAGAAAUCCUCCUGCCUCUGCCUUCCAAGGGCUGGGAUUAAAGGGUGCUGGGAUUAAAGACGUGUGCCACAUUACCAGGGUGCUAGAUACUCAAUGUCACCAAGGUUAGAGCCAAGCCAGAGGCAGAUGACCUUCGUGGGAGGCGUGGUCACUAGAAGGGUCCCUUGUUGCUUGCAUACGUGGCUUGUAAUUGUUGAGUGUUCACCACAGACAGCUGCCAUGGAAACAGCCUCCUCUGGGGAUCUCGACAGUACCGUCAGUGAAGGAGUGGGACAGUCUUUGCUUCAGAAAUACGGUGACAGAUGCAGAAGAGACACAUUCAGGGAAGCUUGCUUCUCUGAGGCCAGAGAAGCCAAGGCCAGCAAGGGACAUUGUGUCCAGGAAUUUUUAUUUACUCUUCUUCCAGGUGGCAGUAGGAGGAACAAUCCAGAGGGGAAACGAUGCUGUGCAGAGAGCACAUAUAAGAGGGGACAAGACCCUGUGUCCCUGUGAGCAGUCAGUACCACAGUUCUUCGGGUGUGGAAGGAAGAGUACUUGAACCAAGAUGUAGGUGGAUGUGGUAGGCAGAGUAUGCCCCCGCCCUCAUCCCCAGAACUCAUGAAUCUGUUACUUUACUGUGCAAAGCCUGGGGCUGUGGCCUGAUUGUAGAGCACUCACCCGGCAUGCCCAGGGUCCAGGGUUCCAGCUCUGGCUGUAGCCUGAUCAUACAGCACUCACUUGACAUGCCCAAGUCCCAGGGUUCCGUCUCUAUCAUUGGGAACAAAAAAGAAAACGCAACUGUGUAGAUGUGACUACUGAAGGGACUCUGGACAGCCUGAGCAAGGCUAACACAGACGGAAGCUUGGCAAGCAUGGCUCUGGCAGACCUUGCCCUUCUCUCCCAUUCCCUCGGCCUUGCUACAUUCCAAAAGCUAGCCCCCAAGGUCUACUCCCUUAUUUGGCCACUUCCUCCUCCUGAGGCUGACUACCAAGGUCCAGUUAUCAGCAUAUUGGAAUCCAUCAUUUAGAAGCCACCUUUUGGCCACCUUAAUUAACAUGCUCAAUUAAAAUUA